CCUACGGGAGGCAGCAGUGAGGAAUAUUGGUCAAUGGGCGAGAGCCUGAACCAGCCAAGUCGCGUGAGGGAGUACUUCCCUAUGGGUUGUAAACCUCUUUUGUCGGGGAGCAAAAGCCGGACGUGUCCGGCUGUGAGAGUACCCGAAGAAAAAGCAUCGGCUAACUCCGUGCCAGCAGCCGCGGUAAUACGGGGGAUGCGAGCGUUAUCCGGAUUUAUUGGGGUGAAAGGGUGCGCAGGCGGAUUUUUAAGUCAGCGGUCAAAUCGUGGGGCUCAACCCCAUCCAGCCGUUGAAACUGGGGAUCUAGAGUGUGAGAGAGGUAUGCGGAAUGCGUGGUGUAGCGGUGAAAUGCAUAGAUAUCACGCAGAACCCCGAUGGCGAAGGCAGCAUACCGGUGCAUAACUGACGCUCAGGCACGAAAGCGUGGGUAUCGAACAGGAUUAGAUACCCCGGUAGUC
rnacentral:rRNA from 1 species